AGAACGAACGCUGGCGGCGUGGAUAAGACAUGCAAGUCGAACGGGAUUAUUUUUGUAGCAAUACAGAAAUAAUUCAGUGGCGAACGGGUGCGUAACACGUGGGCAAUCUGCCGAAAAGUGGGGGAUAGCUCGCCGAAAGGCGAAUUAAUACCGCAUGUGGUGAGGGACGACAUCUUCCUGAAUCCAAAGCCGGGGCAACCUGGCGCUUUUUGAGGAGCCCGCGGCCUAUCAGCUAGUUGGUGAGGUAACGGCUCACCAAGGCUUUGACGGGUAGCUGGUCUGAGAGGACGACCAGUCACACUGGAACUGAGACACGGUCCAGACACCUACGGGUGGCAGCAGUCGAGAAUUUUCACAAUGGGGGAAACCCUGAUGGAGCGACGCCGCGUGGGGAUGAAUGGCUUCGGCCCGUAAACCCUGUCAUUCGCGAACAAUGCUCAUGGUAUAACACAUCAUGAGUUGAUAGUAGCGGAAGAGGAAGGGACGGCUAACGUCUAGU
rnacentral:rRNA from 1 species